rnacentral:rRNA from 1 species
UACGUAGGGUGCAAGCGUUGUUCGGAUUUACUGGGCGUAAAGGGCGCGUAGGCGGCCACUGCAAGUCAGUUGUGAAAUCUCCGGGCUUAACCCGGAAAGGUCAACUGAUACUGCAGGGCUAGAGUGCAGAAGGGGCAACUGGAGUUCUCGGUGUAGCGGUGAAAUGCGUAGAUAUCGAGAGGAACACCUGCGGCGAAGGCGGGUUGCUGGGCUGACACUGACGCUGAGGCGCGAAAGCCAGGGGAGCGAACGGG